ensembl:lncRNA
AGCUCAGGGUGCAGAAGAGCGCUCAUGGCCUGCUGGGAGAGGGGAAAUAAUUGUUCAUUAACCUUUGAACUCGAGAAGGCGUCAAUUCAGAGGGAUCUUAGACACUUCUAGAGACCGGAAUAUCAAAGAAACUUGAGGAUGGGCUCUUUUGACAACGGCAGUGCACACUGGGCGAAGAGGAGGAGGGAUAAUUAUUAUGCCAUUUCUCCACACCUUAACACAGGCUGCUGGGCGGAGGCCAAUCUCAGAGAUGCUCUAACGUGAGGCUGCAUGACAGUGUAAAUUACAUUAGGCCUUCGGUAUGUGUAACAGACGUCUGAAGUUCAAACGCAGACCAGCACCGUCACUCCUACAGGUGCUGAAAUGUGAUUGGCAGAGGAGGAUCCAGGGGGAGGGUGCAGAGCCAUCAUAGAGCAAAAAAGGAAAAGAACCCCAGAAAAGAUACCGGUGUGACCCCAGGCACAGGCUGACGGACGUACAGUGAAAAAGCAGGAACUCUCAUAGAUGAAGAAGGAAUUAAAACUUGCAAAAAGAAGUAAAACAUUGAUCUUUCUACACCACAGCGCAAUCCCAACACACACAGCACUGCCAAAGAUCUCUGAUGAUGUCAUCCUCUCGCACCCAACACAGAUUGAUGCCUUCUGGAUGCAAAUCCGAAUCAUAUAAAAUAUGAGCGAGAGAGAGUUUUGCUUCUGGUGAAGAUGACAAAUGUGCUCCUUGUAUCACAGGUGACAUGCUCCGUACCUGACCUGGAAUGUCUCUGACAGGCAAACUCACUUAUUUUAUGUCAUCUAUUUUAAUAACUUGUUUUUAGGGAAUUGCCUUUGCUAGAGCAGAGGAUGCAAAUCAUCUGCUAGCAAACGCAUGUUGCUGUUAGAGGGGCUGGUAUUACACAACGUGGUAGAGGUUGUCACUACACCAUCUGUUUCUUAAAAGCACCUCACCUUUAUUUUGUCUAUGCUAUGCUAUGCUCAUAAUAUGAUGCAGUGGACUGUCUUUGAUGAAGGAUUUGCUCUUUGAGCAUUCUUGUGGUGGCAUCAACCAACCAGCACUGUAAUGAUGUAAUUUCCUGUGGCUCAGAAAUAAAUUGAAUUCAAAAAGUUCAGAGGUCUCGAGCAAAAAUAGCAACUAUUUGUAUUGCUAACAGAUAGCUUGCACCAGAUAUUAUAGACCUCUUUGAAGGCUAUAAUGGGUAGAAAGAAUACAUAUUCUAAUUUUUAGUUUUCUCUCUCAGUUCCACUACUGAGAACACUGAUAACAGCUGAGCAAUUAACAUUUAGAGUUAGCUACCUGUUAAUCUGUCAACAUUUACAGCUAGCUACCUGAAUAAUAGCAUAACCGGUUUAAUGGGAGAGACGUUUGAAGGAAACUCUAUCACCCCCUUCGAGUACUGAGGUUUGUGCUCACUAAUGUUAUGAUGCAUUUUCAUAUGCAGAAUAAGACUCUGUGCUGGC